rnacentral:tRNA from 1 species
GCGGCAAUAGCUCAGUUGGUAGAGCAUUGGCUUCCCAAGCCAAGGGUCGCGAGUUCGAGUCUCGUUUGCCGCU